rnacentral:rRNA from 1 species
CUAGUUGGUGAGGGAAAGGCUUACCAAGGCGACGAUCAGUAGCUGGUCUGAGAGGACGACCAGCCACACUGGGACUGAGACACGGCCCAGACUCCUACGGGAGGCAGCAGUGGGGAAUUUUGGACAAUGGGGGAAACCCUGAUCCAGCCAUGCCGCGUGAGUGAAGAAGGCCUUCGGGUCGUAAAGCUCUUUCAGCCGGAACGAAACGGUCACGGCUAAUACCUGUGACUACUGACGGUACCGGAAGAAGAAGCACCGGCUAACUACGUGCCAGCAGCCGCGGUAAUUCGUAGGGUGCGAGCGUUAAUCGGAAUUACUGGGCGUAAAGCGUGCGCAGGCGGUUUUGUAAGUCAGAUGUGAAAUCCCCGGGCUUAACCUGGGAACUGCGUUUGAAACUACAAAGCUAGAAGGG